AGCGAACGCUGGCGGCAGGCCUAACACAUGCAAGUCGAACGGCUCUUCGGAGCAGUGGCGGACGGGUGAGUAACGCGUGGGAACGUGCCCUUUGGUUCGGAACAACACAGGGAAACUUGUGCUAAUACCGGAUGUGCCCUUCGGGGGAAAGAUUUAUCGCCAUUGGAGCGGCCCGCGUUGGAUUAGGUAGUUGGUGGGGUAAUGGCCCACCAAGCCGACGAUCCAUAGCUGGUCUGAGAGGAUGAUCAGCCACACUGGGACUGAGACACGGCCCAGACUCCUACGGGAGGCAGCAGUGGGGAAUCUUGCGCAAUGGGCGAAAGCCUGACGCAGCCAUGCCGCGUGAAUGAUGAAGGUCUUAGGAUUGUAAAAUUCUUUCACCGGGGAAGAUAAUGACGGUACCCGGAGAAGAAGCCCCGGCUAACUUCGUGCCAGCAGCCGCCGUAAUAC
rnacentral:rRNA from 1 species